rnacentral:rRNA from 1 species
GCUUGCUUCUCUCCGGCGACGAGUGGCGAACGGGUGAGUAAUACAUCGGAACGUGUCCGCUCGUGGGGGACAACCAGCCGAAAGGUUGGCUAAUACCGCAUGAGUUCUACGGAAGAAAGAGGGGGACCCGCAAGGGCCUCUCGCGAGCGGAGCGGCCGAUGACUGAUUAGCCGGUUGGUGAGGUAACGGCUCACCAAAGCAACGAUCAGUAGCUGGUCUGAGAGGACGACCAGCCACACUGGGACUGAGACACGGCCCAGACUCCUACGGGAGGCAGCAGUGGGGAAUUUUGGACAAUGGGCGCAAGCCUGAUCCAGCUAUUCCGCGUGUGGGAUGAAGGCCCUCGGGUUGUAAACCACUUUUGUAGAGAACGAAAAGACACCUUUUAAAAAAGGGUGUUGCUGACGGUACUCUAAGAAUAAGCACCGGCUAACUACGUGCCAGCAGCCGCGGUAAUACGUAGGGUGCGAGCGUUAAUCGGAAUUACUGGGCGUAAAGGGUGCGCAGGCGGUUGAGUAAGACAGAUGUGAAAUCCCCGAGCUUAACUCGGGAAUGGCAUAUGUGACUGCUCGACUAGAGUGUGUCAGAGGGAGGUGGAAUUCCACGUGUAGCAGUGAAAUGCGUAGAUAUGUGGAAGAACACCGAUGGCGAAGGCAGCCUCCUG